rnacentral:rRNA from 1 species
GACGGAGGGGGCAAGCGUUGUCCGGACUCACUGGGCGUAAAGGGUGCGCAGGCGGCAGAGCGCGUCCGCGCUGAAAUCUGUCGGCUUAACUGACAGGCGCGUGCGGAUACGGCUCAGCUCGAGGCACGGAGAGGGUGGGGGAACUCCUGGUGUAGUGGUGAAAUGCGUAGAGAUCAGGAAGAACACCCGUGGCGCAAGCGCCCACCUGGCCGUGACCUGACGCUGCGGCACGAAAGCUGGGGGAGCGAACAGG